CACGUAGGGCGCGAGCGUUGUCCGGAAUUAUUGGGCGUAAAGAGCUCGUAGGCGGCCUGUUGCGUCCGCUGUGAAAGCCCGGGGCUUAACCCCGGGUCGGCAGUGGAUACGGGCAGGCUAGAGGUAGGUAGGGGAGAAUGGAAUUCCCGGUGUAGCGGUGAAAUGCGCAGAUAUCAGGAGGAACACCUGCGGUGUAGACGGCUUACUGGACGGUAACUGACGCUGAGGCACGAAAGCGUGGGUAGCAAACAGG
rnacentral:rRNA from 1 species